GACGAACGCUGGCGGCGUGCUUAACACAUGCAAGUCGAACGGAAAGGCCUUGCUUUUGUGGGGCGCUCGAGUGGCGAACGGGUGAGUAACACGUGAGUAACCUGCCCUUGACUUUGGGAUAACUUCAGGAAACUGGGGCUAAUACCGGAUAGGAGCUCCUGCUGCAUGGUGGGGGUUGGAAAGUUUCGGCGGUUGGGGAUGGACUCGCGGCUUAUCAGCUUGUUGGUGGGGUAGUGGCUUACCAAGGCUUUGACGGGUAGCCGGCCUGAGAGGGUGACCGGCCACAUUGGGACUGAGAUACGGCCCAGACUCCUACGGGAGGCAGCAGUGGGGAAUAUUGCACAAUGGGCGGAAGCCUGAUGCAGCAACGCCGCGUGCGGGAUGACGGCCUUCGGGUUGUAAACCGCUUUCGCCUGUGACGAAGCGUGAGUGACGGUAAUGGGUAAAGAAGCACCGGCUAACUACGUG
rnacentral:rRNA from 1 species